rnacentral:rRNA from 2 species
AGCGGCAGACGGGUGAGUAACGCGUGGGAAUCUACCUUGAGCUACGGGAUAACAGAGAGAAAUUUCUGCUAAUACCGUAUGUGGCCUUUGGGCGAAAGAUUUAUCGGCUUAAGAUGAGCCCGCGUUGGAUUAACUGGUUGGUGGGGUAAAGGCCUACCAAGGCGACGAUCCAUAGCUGGUCUGAGAGGAUGAUCAGCCACACUGGGACUGAGACACGGCCCAGACUCCUACGGGAGGCAGCAGUGGGGAAUAUUGGACAAUGGGCGCAAGCCUGAUCCAGCCAUGCCGCGUGAGUGAAGAAGGCCUUAGGGUUGUAAAGCUCUUUCACCGGUGAAGAUAAUGACGGUAGCCGGAGAAGAAGCCCCGGCUAACUUCGUGCCAGCAGCCGCGGUAAUACGAAGGGGGCUAGCGUUGUUCGGAUUUACUGGGCGUAAAGCGCGCGUAGGCGGAUAGAUAAGUCAGAGGUGAAAUCCCGGGGCUCAACCCCGGAAUUGCCUUUGAUACUGUUUAUCUUGAGUGCANAAGAGGUAAGUGGAAUUCCGAGUGUAGAGGUGAAAUUCGUAGAUAUUCGGAGGAACACCAGUGGCGAAGGCGGCUUA